rfam:Tilletia controversa strain DAOM 236426 scaffold_227, whole genome shotgun sequence.
UCCCGGCUAGCUCAGUUGGUAGAGCGUCAGACUCUUAUUCAUAAGGGUUUCCGCAGUUGUGCGGAGUUCAUCUGAAUGUCGAGGGUUCGAGCCCCUCGUUGGGAG